rnacentral:rRNA from 1 species
GAUGAACGCUGGCGGCGUGCCUAAUACAUGCAAGUCGAGCGAAUUGAUUAGAAGCUUGCUUCUAUGACGUUAGCGGCGGACGGGUGAGUAACACGUGGGCAACCUGCCUGUAAGACUGGGAUAACUUCGGGAAACCGAAGCUAAUACCGGAUAGGAUCUUCUCCCUCAUGGGAGAUGAUUGAAAGAUGGUUUCGGCUAUCACUUACAGAUGGGCCCGCGGUGCAUUAGCUAGUUGGUGAGGUAACGGCUCACCAAGGCAACGAUGCAUAGCCGACCUGAGAGGGUGAUCGGCCACACUGGGACUGAGACACGGCCCAGACUCCUACGGGAGGCAGCAGUAGGGAAUCUUCCGCAAUGGACGAAAGUCUGACGGAGCAACGCCGCGUGAGUGAUGAAGGCUUUCGGGUCGUAAAACUCUGUUGUUAGGGAAGAACAAGUACGAGAGUAACUGCUCGUACCUUGACGGUACCUAACCAGAAAGCCACGGCUAACUACGUGCCAGCCGCCGCGGUAAGAC